UACAGAGGUCCCAAGCGUUGUUCGGAUUCACUGGGCGUAAAGGGUGCGUAGGCGGUCGGGUAAGUCUGAUGUGAAAUCUCACAGCUUAACUGUGAAACUGCAUUGGAUACUAUUCGGCUUGAGAGUUGGAGGGGGGACUGGAAUUCUUGGUGUAGCAGUGAAAUGCGUAGAUAUGACUUAGAACACCAAUUGCGAAGGCAGCUUGCUAAACAAAUAUUGACGCUGAGGCACGAAAGCGUGGGGAUCAAACAGG
rnacentral:rRNA from 1 species